rnacentral:rRNA from 1 species
GAACACCAGUGGCGAAGGCGACUUUCUGGACUGUAACUGACGCUGAGGUACGAAAGCGUGGGUAGCGAACAGGAUUAGAUACCCUGGUAGUCCACGCCGUAAACGAUGGAUACUAGGUGUAGGGGGUAUCGACCCCCCUGUGCCGGAGUUAACGCAAUAAGUAUCCCGCCUGGGGAGUACGGUCGCAAGACUGAAACUCAAAGGAAUUGACGGGGGCCCGCACAAGCAGCGGAGCAUGUGGUUUAAUUCGAAGCAACGCGAAGAACCUUACCAGGGCUUGACAUCCUGAUGACCGGUACAGAGAUGUACCUUCCCUUCGGGGCAUUGGAGACAGGUGGUGCAUGGUUGUCGUCAGCUCGUGUCGUGAGAUGUUGGGUUAAGUCCCGCAACGAGCGCAACCCCUAUCCUUAGUUGCCAUCAGUUAAAGCUGGGCACUCUAAAGAGACUGCCGGGGAUAACUCGGAGGAAGGUGGGGAUGACGUCAAAUCAUCAUGCCCCUUAUGUCCUGGGCUACACACGUGCUACAAUGGCCUGUAACAGAGGGAAGCGAAGCCGUAAGGCGGAGCAAAACUCAGAAACCAGGUCCCAGUUCGGAUUGUGGGCUGCAACUCGCCCACAUGAAGUUG